AUUGAACGCUGGCGGCAGGCCUAACACAUGCAAGUCGAACGAGUGGCGGACGGGUGAGUAAUGUCUGGGAAACUGCCUGAUGGAGGGGGAUAACUACUGGAAACGGUAGCUAAUCCCGCAUACCAUCGGAUGUGCCCAGAUGGGAUUAUCUAGUAGGUGGGGGAAAGGCUCACCUAGGCUACGUUCCCUAGCUGGUCUGAGAGGAUGACGGGCACCACUGGAACUUGGACACGGUCCAGACUCCUACGGGAGGCAGCAUUGGGGAAUAUUGCACAAUGGGGGCAAGCCGGACGCAGCCAAGCCGCGUGUAUGAAGAAGGCCUACGGGUUGUAAAGUACUUUCAGCGGGGAGGCGUUACCCGCAGAAGAAGCACCGGCUAACUACGUGCCAGCAGCCGCGGUAAUAC
rnacentral:rRNA from 1 species